AGAAAAGGAGAUGACCCCUAGGCUUCUGGCACUAGUUACUGGGUCAUUAAGUGCAUGGUUUAUCAAUAUAGGGCAAAGAAAAUAAUGAAGAACAUGAUACCCUUCACCUAAGGGGUCGUAAUACUGUGGUAUUGUUUACUAAUCCCAAUAAUCAAUUUCACUGCAUUUGUUUCCUCAGAUUAGCCCAGCUUCCUUGACUUCCAGUAGACACAGCUUGCUUUACUGCCAUGAAACCUGGAACACCACCAUUUACUUGUGCCAAAAAGAGAGUUUUUAGGAAGCAAAGUAAAGGACAGUUUGUCACUUGCUCUCAACAACUGCCUCCUGCAACCUGGUACCAAAUGUAUCCUUGGACCUUUUUUGAGAAGUCCUGUAUCAUGGUGUGAUUAUGUCAGUGAUAAUCUAACUGGUAGUGAUAUAUCCAAGUGUCACUCAACAACAACAGGAAAGGAACGACUGUGCUGCUAUCGUUCACUCAGAUCUUCAUUCCUCCUCUGCGUACCAGUCAGACACAUCCCUGACAAGUACUGCAUGGCUCCACCUGCUCACCACCUGUCAAUAUUUGGGUUAAAAAAAUAGACUCAAGCAUGUGAUUCUUAAUUUUCAUUAGGAUGAGUGUAGAUAUUGUGAAUAAUAAACUAUUCUCAGCGUUUACAUGGCAAGUCCACUGGAAUUUAAUUGUUUCCUCUCUUGAAAUCCUCUAUCUCAGUAUCAAAUGAUCUCUGUAAAGGCUACUCCGGAGUUUCUGAGAUGGGAAUUGAAAUAUAUUCUGGUGGAUGAUUGAAGGCACUGGAGAAAUGCAAGGAAGUACCUUGGACUCUGAUUAGAACUUCAGUCAGGACAGGGCUAUCUCUCCAGACUUCAGGGAAAGGUAGCCCUAUAGUUUUACACACUGAUUGAGCAAACUGAUAUGAUAGCCCCUUCUGUUUACUGUAAUCCUUUCAAAUGCUGAACUGAGGCAUAUCAUCAAAGAAAAUUAGGGUUAAAGUUUUCAUCUACUGAAAAUCAGUGUGGUUCAUGAUUGUCUCAAAACCCCUGGGGGAAUAUUCACU
ensembl:lncRNA